CCUCUCCUGCUGGAUCUGUGCUCAUGUCAGGAGAUUGGCUUUCUGUGAAAAGAUAAAGGAAUGCAAACCUUGUGAUGUAGUUUCCCUGAACUAAUUCUUUUCUUGCCCUUUCUUCCUAUUCCUCCAGCCCUGGGCAGCUGGCUGUUCCCGGUGUUACGGGUUAUAUAGAUGCACCUCAGAAUGAAGCAGCUGAGACUAAGCAGUGCGUGCACUUGCUCUGCACCUUCUCUCUUUUCACCACAGGUUUCAGCAGGUGUUUGCAAUGCCCAGAUCCAUCAGCUUAAACCUGUGCUGGUUCAGCAUUACCAGCAGCAGGGAGAAAGUACGUUUCUUCCCUCUAAGCAGAGGUGGGAUGCCAUUAUGAGGUUCAGGUCUGUCUGCACUUUCCUAGUUCAGAAGUGGAGAUCAGGUCUUCCUGGGGGGAAGGUAUUAUUGAAGGACUUUGACUUGGAUUCUGGAACAAUGGGGCUUUCUGAAUCAGCUGUGAUAAAAAAAGAUGGGGAGGAAAAAAAAAGGCUUGGUUGCAUCUAAACACUGGAAGUCCCUCCAGUGAAAAUGGCAGAUGUCUGCUACAAAGAGCUUGACUGAAGAAUUUUGCAUUACUUAAUUUUUAUUUUAAAACUAUAGAGGAAAAAUAAAGAUUUAAGAUACUGGA